rnacentral:tRNA from 1 species
GGACAGGUGUCUGAGCGGUCUAAAGAGACGGUCUUGAAAACCGUUGAAGCGCAAGCUUCCGCGAGUUCGAAUCUCGCCCUGUCCGCCU